UACAGGGCCUAUUAGUUGUU
rnacentral:piRNA from 1 species